GGGUUGUGAGGUUAAGCGACUAAGCGUACACGGUGGAUGCCCUGGCAGUCAGAGGCGAUGAAGGACGUGCUAAUCUGCGAAAAGCGUCGGUAAGGUGAUAUGAACCGUUAUAACCGGCGAUGUCCGAAUGGGGAAACCCAGUGCAAUUCGUUGCACUAUCGUUAACUGAAUACAUAGGUUAACGAGGCGAACCGGGGGAACUGAAACAUCUAAGUACCCCGAGGAAAAGAAAUCAACCGAGAUUCCCCCAGUAGCGGCGAGCGAACGGGGAGCAGCCCAGAGUCUGAAUCAGCUUGUGUGUUAGUGGAACGGUCUGGAAAGUCCGACGGUACAGGGUGAUAGUCCCGUACACCAAAAUGCACAGGUUGUGAACUCGAAGAGUAGGGCGGGACACGUGGUAUCCUGUCUGAAUAUGGGGGGACCAUCCUCCAAGGCUAAAUACUCCUGACUGACCGAUAGUGAACCAGUACCGUGAGGGAAAGGCGAAAAGAACCCCGGCGAGGGGAGUGAAAAAGAACCUGAAACCGUGUACGUACAAGCAGUGGGAGCACCUUCGGGUGUGACUGCGUACCUUUUGUAUAAUGGGUCAGCGACUUAUAUUCUGUAGCAAGGUUAACCGUAUAGGGGAGCCGCAGGGAAACCGAGUCUUAACUGGGCGUUAAGUUGCAGGGUAUAGACCCGAAACCCGGUGAUCUAGCCAUGGGCAGGUUGAAGGUUGGGUAACACUAACUGGAGGACCGAACCGACUAAUGUUGAAAAAUUAGCGGAUGACUUGUGGCUGGGGGUGAAAGGCCAAUCAAACCGGGAGAUAGCUGGUUCUCCCCGAAAGCUAUUUAGGUAGCGCCUCGUGAAUUCAUCUUCGGGGGUAGAGCACUGUUUCGGCUAGGGGGUCAUCCCGACUUACCAACCCGAUGCAAACUACGAAUACCGAAGAAUGUUAUCACGGGAGACACACGGCGGGUGCUAACGUCCGUCGUGAAGAGGGAAACAACCCAGACCGCCAGCUAAGGUCCCAAAGUCAUGGUUAAGUGGGAAACGAUGUGGGAAGGCACAGACAGCCAGGAUGUUGGCUUAGAAGCAGCCAUCAUUUAAAGAAAGCGUAAUAGCUCACUGGUCGAGUCGGCCUGCGCGGAAGAUGUAACGGGGCUAAACCAUGCACCGAAGCUGCGGCAGCGACACUAUGUGUUGUUGGGUAGGGGAGCGUUCUGUAAGCCUGCGAAGGUGUGCUGUGAGGCAUGCUGGAGGUAUCAGAAGUGCGAAUGCUGACAUAAGUAACGAUAAAGCGGGUGAAAAGCCCGCUCGCCGGAAGACCAAGGGUUCCUGUCCAACGUUAAUCGGGGCAGGGUGAGUCGACCCCUAAGGCGAGGCCGAAAGGCGUAGUCGAUGGGAAACAGGUUAAUAUUCCUGUACUUGGUGUUACUGCGAAGGGGGGACGGAGAAGGCUAUGUUAGCCGGGCGACGGUUGUCCCGGUUUAAGCAUGUAGGCUUGUCCAGGCAAAUCCGGAUAAUCAAGGCUGAGGUGUGAUGACGAGGCACUACGGUGCUGAAGUAACAAAUGCCCUGCUUCCAGGAAAAGCCUCUAAGCAUCAGGUAACAUCAAAUCGUACCCCAAACCGACACAGGUGGUCAGGUAGAGAAUACCAAGGCGCUUGAGAGAACUCGGGUGAAGGAACUAGGCAAAAUGGUGCCGUAACUUCGGGAGAAGGCACGCUGGUGUGUAGGUGAAGUCCCUGCGGAUGGAGCUGAGACCAGUCGAAGAUACCAGCUGGCUGCAACUGUUUAUUAAAAACACAGCACUGUGCAAACACGAAAGUGGACGUAUACGGUGUGACGCCUGCCCGGUGCCGGAAGGUUAAUUGAUGGGGUUAUCCGUAAGGAGAAGCUCUUGAUCGAAGCCCCGGUAAACGGCGGCCGUAACUAUAACGGUCCUAAGGUAGCGAAAUUCCUUGUCGGGUAAGUUCCGACCUGCACGAAUGGCGUAAUGAUGGCCAGGCUGUCUCCACCCGAGACUCAGUGAAAUUGAACUCGCUGUGAAGAUGCAGUGUACCCGCGGCAAGACGGAAAGACCCCGUGAACCUUUACUAUAGCUUGACACUGAACAUUGAGCCUUGAUGUGUAGGAUAGGUGGGAGGCUUUGAAGCGUGGACGCCAGUCUGCGUGGAGCCAACCUUGAAAUACCACCCUUUAAUGUUUGAUGUUCUAACGUUGGCCCCUGACCGGGGUUGCGGACAGUGUCUGGUGGGUAGUUUGACUGGGGCGGUCUCCUCCCAAAGCGUAACGGAGGAGCACGAAGGUUAGCUAAUCCUGGUCGGACAUCAGGAGGUUAGUGCAAUGGCAUAAGCUAGCUUGACUGCGAGCGUGACGGCGCGAGCAGGUGCGAAAGCAGGUCAUAGUGAUCCGGUGGUUCUGAAUGGAAGGGCCAUCGCUCAACGGAUAAAAGGUACUCCGGGGAUAACAGGCUGAUACCGCCCAAGAGUUCAUAUCGACGGCGGUGUUUGGCACCUCGAUGUCGGCUCAUCACAUCCUGGGGCUGAAGUAGGUCCCAAGGGUAUGGCUGUUCGCCAUUUAAAGUGGUACGCGAGCUGGGUUUAGAACGUCGUGAGACAGUUCGGUCCCUAUCUGCCGUGGGCGCUGGAGAAUUGAGGGGGGCUGCUCCUAGUACGAGAGGACCGGAGUGGACGCAUCACUGGUGUUCGGGUUGUCAUGCCAAUGGCACUGCCCGGUAGCUAAAUGCGGAAGAGAUAAGUGCUGAAAGCAUCUAAGCACGAAACUUGCCCCGAGAUGAGUUCUCCCUGAGACUUUAAGUCUCCUGAAGGAACGUUAAAGACGAUGACGUUGAUAGGCCGGGUGUGUAAGCGCAGCGAUGCGUUGAGCUAACCGGUACUAAUGAACCGUGAGGCUUAACCUUACAACGCCGAAG
rnacentral:rRNA from 1 species